GUCGAGGCUGAAGAAGAGCGGAGCAGCUGGUUGCUGCCGCUUGCUUGCGUGAUGAACGUGGCGCUUACGUCGUCGCAAAUGGCGGCGUGUAUAUUUCCUUAAUUCGAAGUCAGUGUCACUUGAAAUGUGCAGUUGUGAUGUUGGUGGUGGAAAGCUGCUAGAGGGAUUAAUGCCAGAAUUAGAAAGAUCUGUACAGAAAGAAAGCUUUCACAUACAAAGAGCAACUGCAAUGGGUGGGGACUUCAAUGCUGUGGUUGAUAACAAUGAUGAUGGUGACAAUGAUGAUGAUCAUGCUGAUGUUUCUGCCAUCAAAUCAUGAAUUUUUAAGUAAUUAACAAUAAAUUGGUG